ensembl:lncRNA
CACCAGUGCUGCUAUAAUUAUAGGAUCUAGAUGCAGUCCUCUUCAAAAGCAUGCCUGCUCUGUUCCACUUUUUACUGCUGAAUGGUGAAGCAAGAUGACAGCAUCAGCAGAAGAGCUGUUAUCAAGUAUCACUGCCUGCAUCCUGUGGUUGUGCCGUACUGGACCAUGGGCAGCCUGGCUCCAGCCAAGUGCACAGCUCAGGCUCUGUGCAGUACUGCACAUCCUAAUUCAGCAUCAAACCUCUGAAUUCCCAUACGUGUGCCAUGAACAAGAGGAGUCUCCAGGAGGAAAAAAAAAAAAGCAAAGAAUGGGGGAAAAAAUGAGAAGGAAGGUCACAAAGCAGGAGCCCAGGUUGGCUUAGUCCCUGAUUAUGCUUUGGACUAGAGGCCAGGAUUUUCCCAUUGACAUGGACAAAUUGGUCUACUUUAUUGCAUUCUGGAGAUUUGAUCCUCCUCUGCAGUCUGCUGGGCAACUUCCAAAGGAUAGAAUUGGAUUCCUCACCAUAAAGUUUCUCCUUCCAAGAUGGAAAGGGCUUUUAUGGCAAAGUAUAAAAUCAAAAAACAAGCUGUCACUCGCAUUUGCUGCCCUGCUCUUUCUGUGCACUGUAAGAAGCACUCUCAGGGUUUUGAAGCCUGCUGUAUUAAGUGUGAGAUGGUGAAAAGGUCAUGACAGAAGGGCUGGUGAGAUUGAAAUCGAGUGCAGGAGCAUUCUGCAAGGAGGUGACUUGCCUGCUCCAAAUGCCCUGAGAAGUGAAGGCGAGAGCCUUAGCACAGCAUUGUGCUACCUGUGUCUUCUCCAUCCCUGCUACCUGCAUCCCUCCUUGCACAACCAGACCGUGGCUUUCAGGGUGACUGAUGUCCCCAUCAAGGAACAGUUUGUGACAAAGGAAUACAUCUUCCAUGAGGAGGAUGACCAGGAAUUGGACAACAUGAACUGAAGAAAACAUCUCCUGCCUCAGCAAUGGGCUCCCAAACCAAAACAGACAUUACUGCCUGGAAGUAAUUCGGAGGAACUCUACCAGCAAGUGUGAAAUGAAUGCAAAUGUGCAGCUUCUUUAGACUUAAUUGUAGAAGAGCAUCUGUUUACAUUUCAUUUCAGUACUACAGUGAACCCUCAUCUAUUGGGAAGUUUGCAGCCUGCAAAGAUAGCAUGUUGUUGAGUGGUUUUGAAAAGAAUAUACCAUCAUUCACCAGGUUCAUGCUGCUUGCCUCUAUUCAGCCACUCACCAGAGCCACCCUAUCGAAACUACAACUGUGGAUGUAAGCAUUUCUGAGAGCUGUAAUUGAACUCCCCAUCACAACCUUUACAGCAAUCAUUUUGAUUACUCUUAGCUUAGCAAUUAUGGCUGAGUGACACAUUUUCAGCUUUGGAAAACAAUAUGCCUAGCCCAGCUACCCUAUGCAUAAGUGUCUCAUAUACAUAUAUCCACAUAGAUAUACAUAUUUACCAGCUUUCACGUGCUAAAUGGUUUCUAAGCUCCUGCCUGCCAAGGAGCUGGUUGAUCCAUGAGCAGGAUUCCUGUUGGAUGGCUGCAUGAUGUGUGCCAACAGCUCCCUCUGGGUUUUUUGUCUGAGAUUUACUUCAGUUGCAGAAAAAUCAGGGAACGUCUUUGUUCCCAGAAGUACUCCUGGCAGCCGACCUUGGAUCACGACCCAUCAUCGCAGCCCAGUUGCACAGUCUCUAGACAGCAUCUCCUCGGGGCCAGCACAACCUGGGGUGAUGAGACAAGCUCUGUAAUGGAAACGAUUGUGCCUUUGUGUCUGGGCAGCCAGCAAGUGUCAUUCUUUGAAACACAGCGGCUAUUUCAGAAAGAGCAUCUCUAGCGGAGAUGCAGCAGUUUUCCAGGGCACCAUGGAGACAUCCAGUUGCAUAACCCUGACAGUCACUGGGAGACAGUCUGCUGGCAAGCAUUACUGAUCCCCCCCGCUCCUGCUCAGCAUGAAGUCCCAAUGACCUCAGCCCUUGGCCGCCUUGUCCACCUCCAACAAGGAAUGUUAGAGAGAACAUCUCAGGAGCCCCUCCCAUAAGCUAUGAACCAAAGCCCUUAAUUUUACAGCUACUAAAAUAUACCAAAGUUCAACACAAUAGCUUUUCAAGUUGACUAACUGGUACGUGGGAGCCAAAAAGCAGGAGCCAUGUAGAUUUAUCAUGUCGUUAAAGGGAACUGGGGUGAGUGUUAGGCAGAGGAUGGAGAUCGCGAACCCAGAGCUGAGGGCAACAGCUUUAUGAUGAGUUUCACCAUCUGAAAGCCUGGUGUUGUGCACUGCAGCAACCAGCGUUGAGCUCGUCAGAUCUCAGAUUUGCAGCAGGCUGCUUUGCUUCUUUGUUCAUCAAAACAGGGAAGAAAUAGUGGAGCACUUUGGAAAAAUCCUGGAGAAUCUGGUAGAGAUGGAAUUGAGGGUGCUUAGGAACUUGCAGAGUCCAGGGCAGAAAUUACUGUAAAUACUUGUUGAAUUUAGUAAGUGUUUUUAUGCUUCCUGUUGGGUUAUUUUUAACACUCUUGUAGGAUUCCAUAGUGGGAUAUGAUUAUGCAUUAAAUUUUAAUGGUUGUUUUAAAAAUAAAAGCUGUCGAAUGCUAUCAUUUUCUAUUAGGUAAUACAGAGUGCCUCCAUUAGGAGUGUUUUUCUCCUUCCAAACAAAGCCUAGGCAGGCUCGAGCAACAGUCAUGAGCAAAAUAAUCCCAGCUUGGGGAAGAUAUUAAUAAAAUCCAGGCUGCAAAAUGUGCAGGAAGCUGCUCUAAUGUAUCCAUUUCCAAUUUCUGUUCACACAGGUGAACUCAAGAGCAAACCAAGGUUCACCACAUCCUAAUUGCAUUUGGGGGCACUGCUGAAAACUUCAACUUUGAGAUUUUCCUUAAGGAAUUCUCCUUGAUUCGUAUCUUCUUUUGUGAUCAAGGAAAAGUUUUCCUGCAAUUUGAAGAACCUGUAUACAUUUCAUGCCUUUUCUAAUCUAAC